rnacentral:rRNA from 1 species
CCAGGCUAACUCUGUGCCAGCAGCCGCGGUAAUACAGAGGGUGCGAGCGUUAAUCGGAUUUACUGGGCGUAACAGCGUGCGUAGGCGGCUGAUUAAGUCGGAUGUGAAAUCCCUGAGCUUAACUUAGGAAUUGCAUUCGAUACUGGGAAGCUAGAGUAUGGGAGAGGAUGGUAGAAUUCCAGGUGUAGCGGUGAAAUGCGUAGAGAUCUGGAGGAAUACCGAUGGCGAAGGCAGCCAUCUGGCCUAAUACUGACGCUGAGGUACGAAAGCAUGGGGAGCAAACAGGAUUAGAUACCCUGGUAGUCCAUGCCGUAAACGAUGUCUACUAGCCGUUGGGGCCUUUGAGGCUUUAAUGGCGCAGCUAACGCGAUAAGUAGACCGCCUGGGGAGUACGGUCGCAAGACUAAAACUCAAAUGAAUUGACGGGGGCCCGCACAAGCGGUGGAGCAUGUGCGUUAAUUCGAUGCAACGCGAAGAGCUUUACUGGGCUUGACAUUCUAGAAAGUUUCCAGAGACUGGUGUGGUGCCAUCGGGGAAUCUAGAU